UUCUACCUGUUACAUACUUUUCAACGAAUCUAAUAUACCCUAUUAGUCUAUAAGUAACGUGUAUAGAAAAAGAGAAUCGCUUUGGAUGUUUUAACUUAACUUCCCUUAGCCCAACUAGUACAAAAUAAUUCUUCAAAUUGGUGUAGUUAGCAUCAAUUCAGGGCUUAAAUUCAAGGCCGAAAAAUUCGAUUUCUUUAGUGUAUCCCUUACUAACCUCUUGUUCAAAGAAUAUCACGUGACAAAUUUGCCUGGUCUGCUAUUUUCCGAAACCUUGGCGCUAUUUUUUUGAGACUUUGCAUCUCGCUUGUAUAUUCAUUGCAUUUAGAUAUCGGUCAUUUUCCGCUAGUGUCAUCAUAUUUAAAAGAGAGAUCUGCCAGCCGAAUUCAAACACAUUUAAGAACUCUUGCCCCGAUAGAGCUGCCAGUUGAUUCGACUCUCUCUCUCUUUCCCUUUUCGUUUUCGAUUACUGAAGUAGUGAAAGCGUUAGCUUUGUUGUUGUUUAUCGCUGAGGUUUUGGUAUUCAUGCUGUUAAGUUUAUUGUUUUUCCAAGUGUGCUGGAAGCUGGAAGCGGGAAGCGAUCAGCUGAUCGCUCUCGCACUUUGGGUCGAUGCAUGGGAUCGCGAGAACGAGAGCGGGAAGAGGACAGAAGCAUUCGAUUUCGGUAAGCGAGAGAACACAUACGUCGCUAUCUAACGCGGAACGCCAUUUACAUAUGUGCACUAUAUAUAUAAAUAAACAUGAAUUUGUGAAUUUAUCGGUUAGUGUUUGCAUUGCAUACAAUUUGUGAAUGCGGCGUAGUGGUGUCAAAGAAGUUAAUAAAUAAAUUAUUAGUUAUAUUUAAAAUUUCAUUGAAAGUAUUCUACAACUCCUCUAAUUCCUUACGUUCGUCAUACUACUCGUAUAUUUUUAUUUUUAAUUAUUAUCAAAUAAAAGUUUUUAAGCUUUUUGAUUUCAAAAGAAGUUCAAACAAACAAUGGUCACAAAGGAAAUCGCUAAGAAAUAAACGAGAUGGCCUAAUGAAAAGUAUAUCCCGAACACAGCAAUAUUUACAAGAGGGUAUUGUAAUAUGCACAUAUGCCAUACAUAUCGAGUGUACACUGUGAUUACCACUUUUAUCGAGUGUACACUUUGUGCAGCCACAACAAAUUUCAAUAAACAAAACAAACUCAAGUGAGCGCAUAAUAUGAUCGGCCACUUGUGAAUUCGGCUAAGUCAGCAUAUGCACGCUGACCGCCAGUGCCCUAUGCAUAAGUGCAUAAUACUCUCUCUCACUCUAAAGUAUUUACGUAAGACAAGCAUGCAUGUCCAUUGUCACCUAAGCAUAAGCAUAUACAUAUAAGAAAUAUAUAAUGCAGCCGCGCCGCUGCCGGCUCUACCGGCAGCGCAGUGCGCGUUGAACUUAUGUACUUAGGGUAAGAGAACAUUUUGACUUAAAAUAAAAGAACAUUAUAAAACCUACACUCAAACUGCACUCACGUGCAAGUCUAUUCAUUUCUUAAAACAUAACUUGAAGUAUUCCAUUAUUGAUGUCUACAACAUAACUUGGAAACACCUUCAACUUACAACAUAACUUGGAAACACCUUCAACUUACAACAUAACAUGGAAAUACCUUCAAGUUACAACAUGGUGACCGUGACGUGGGUCUAGUAAGACCAGGACCUAAAGCGGAUCUCUCUCUCCAAUAACUCUUUCCAAUAACUUCUCGAAGACAAUUGGGAUGGCGGGACAGGAAGCUGGAAACAAACUGGCGGAAAACUGUAAAAACUUUUGUAACUGAACAAUAUAAAAACUCAAAUUAACAACAAAACACAUCGCCAAACGCCAAUGCCCACCGGACUGUGAAGGACCAUUCUUCAGCCCGUAUUGAUGGGCACAUGCCAGGCAAAGCAAUAGAUGUUUCAAAAAGCAACAAUAAAUAAUUAAUCACGAGAGGCAGACCGCCCCAUGUGACAACGUUGGAGCGAGAAGAAGAUUGAGAGGCAGGCCGCCCCUCGUACCAACGAUUGGAAACACCAAGGGUGAACUGACCGACAGCACUAAAGAGUGCCCAACAGUAAUUUUAACAUUAUUAUUAAAUAUUUGUAAUGCCUGACGACAAUUGAGUCGACCGGCAAAACGUUUGGCCUGUAAAGCCAUUCGAAAACAUUAGGUAGGCAAAGAGAAAAAUAACUCUCAAAUUUGUAAACUAUACUAUUGAUAGAAAAUAUGAUAUAUGAAAAUUGAAUUAUUUUUUUAUAAGAAAAAAACACAAUUUUAAGAAACCUUGACAAAUAAAAUAAGUAAAUCAGAAGAAAUAAUUGAACAAAAUUCAAAAAUGUCAUUAAUAAAGUCGAAGUACAAGAUGCUGAAA